GACGAACGCUGGCGGCGUGCUUAACACAUGCAAGUCGAACGGAAAGGCCCUGCUUUUGUGGGGUGCUCGAGUGGCGAACGGGUGAGUAACACGUGAGUAACCUGCCCUUGACUUUGGGAUAACUUCAGGAAACUGGGGCUAAUACCGGAUAGGAGCUCCUGCUGCAUGGUGGGGGUUGGAAAGUUUCGGCGGUUGGGGAUGGACUCGCGGCUUAUCAGCUUGUUGGUGGGGUAGUGGCUUACCAAGGCUUUGACGGGUAGCCGGCCUGAGAGGGUGACCGGCAAAAUGGGGACGGGGAUACGGCCCAGACUCCUACGGGAGGAAGCAGUGGGGAAUAUUGCACAAGGGCGGAAGCCUGAUGCAGCAACGCCGCGUGCGGGAUGACGGCCUUCGGGUUGUAAACCGCUUUCGCCUGUGACGAAGCGUGAGUGACGGUAAUGGGUAAAGAAGCACCGGCUAACUACGUG
rnacentral:rRNA from 1 species